UGGGAAUGGAGUGGAAUAUUCACCUUUUCCAUAGGGGAAAAGAGAUCCCUAAAGGUAGGGACAGGGGCAGAUUUCAAUUCACAUUUAUGGGUGAACUUUCCUAACCUGCACUUCCAAAAUAUGAGAAUUGAAACACAGCUGUCCUUUCAAAUUUGAACUAUUCUGAAUUUUGCAAUGUGGCCCUGCAGGCAAGUAAUACAUACAAACAUGCAUGCACUGGGUUAAAGGAUAUAAUAGUGAAAGUAACACGCAAAAAUGCAUUAUUUGGGGGAGAAAUUGCGUUGUAAAAUUGCGUAUGUUAGACAAAAUUGCACACAGAUAUCUGUCUCUUAGGAGAAAUUUACACUAAAAUGCUGGUGAACUUUUAAAAUUAUUUCUGAGAUGGUUAAAAUUUAUAACCAAGAGAGAUUUAUUCGUCUGUAGGUAGAAAUUUACAUUUGAUGUGUGAGCUGCUUUCUGGCUUCAAGAAGAAGGGAAGCGAAGUCAACUGUUAAAGGAUUGAAGGCAGAAAAAGCCUGCUUUAAUGGUUUGUGUCAAGAAAGUUUUAAACAAGCAAGGGAGUUCUGUGUGCUAAGAAUUUUUAUUUUCUUUAUUUUUUUCCCUUGAUGAAAGUGUUGCUUAGAAAUCGAAAGUAAUUCUGCCACUUGAUACUUCCUCUAUGGGAAAGAAAUGUGUUGAUUCUAGUAAGAGACAAGGGUGUGAAAGUCUUAAGGUAGAGAUGGGAGGUGUAAUGAGACUGAACUGCUAAUAAGAUCAAAAACAUUCAGUAUGGCAAGUACAUCUUUGGACGUUCCAUCAACAGUUGGCAUCCUUCAGCAAAUGUUUGAUGAGAAAAUAAUUUGAUUAGAUCAAAGUUUGAUCUAAUGCAGAAUGAAAGUAAACCAGAGAUGAAUGAAAUGAAAAGCGGAAUCAAAGAUGGCACAGAGACUUCAGAGAAGAAUAUGGAUAAAGGACUGGCAGAAGAAGAGGGUGAAAUGGUAGAGUUGGAAGGAACAGAGGGUGAAAUGGAAACAGUCCCUCACACAGGUGUUUGGAGGAAUGAAAAAGCCAAAUGGUGGAGUUGUGAUUCUGGAGGAGUGGAAUGAAACCAUGGAUGGAGAGGUGGAGAGACACCUUGAGCCUGGCAUCAAUAGCACUGAGAGAGAGAGAGAGAAAGGGCUCUGUGCUUUUCUUGGAAAAAGAAUGGAAGAAACAUAAAUGGAAGAAUUUUUUUAAAAAGGUAAGGAUGGAAAACCACAGCAAACACAAGAAAUGGGAACGGAAGAUACAGAGCUAUAUGCAAACAUAACAAGGAAAGAAAUGCAGAAUAAUAUAUCAAUAUAUGAUCACACUGAAGAGCCUCUCCUAUGGACAAAGAUUGAAAGAUUUUUAUAUUGUUUUUAUUGAGACAUUUGGGUCUGAAGCCUGGGAAAAUACUUCUUAACAGAAAGUAGAACAGUUGGAUGUCAUCCUAGAGUGAAUGUUUUGAAUAAUUUCUUUUAUGUACCUGACAGACAGAAAAUCGGAAAUCCUUUUUAUUUUUCUGUCUUCUUUCUUUUCUUUUCUUUUCUUUUCUUUUCUUUUCUGUUCUGUUCUUUCCUUCUUUUUUAUCUUCUUUUUUCUUUUUCUUCCCCUUUGGUGUUCUUUGCUCUGGGCCACUAUUGGAGUCCAAGGAUCACACACACACACACACACACACACACACACGUAUUAGAUGGUUGGUGGAAGGACCCUGAGUGAGGAGAAGGGAAGAUCACCCAGGGUGAGAGACUGGGGGCAGAAAGGAAAGCUCCCAGGUGAGAGCUGGGAGGGUCCAGCAUUUUCUGUGCAUGACAAGUAAACACUACCUUUGAGAGAGGACUCUGCCUUUUCUUUUCUCUUCUUUUCUCAGUUUUGGUUUUCUUAUAUCUUAUUGCAUUAUGUAAAAGUUUUGAUAAAAUCUAACGGGGGUAAAGGAUUUUAGGGGAAAAAAUGGUCUCAAACCGAUGUGGGAAAUGAAUUUAAGCUUGGGGGCGGGGAAUGAGAAAUGUUGAUGGAUACACAUAUGCAGGGCUGGAUUUAGGUUUGAUGAGGCCCUGAGCUACUGAAGGUAAUGGGGCCCUUUAUAAUAAAGUUGCCAGACGUCCCCGUUUCCCGGGGACAGUCCCUGGAUUUACAAAUCAGUUCCCUGACAAAAUCCAUCUACAGUGGUACCUCGGGUUACAUACACUUCAGGUUACAGACUCCGCUAACCCAGAAAUAGUACCUUGGGUUAAGAACUUUGCUUCAGGAUGAGAACAGAAAUUGUGCAGUGGCGGCACAGCAGCAGCAGGAGGCCCCAUUAGCUAAAGUGGUGCUUCAGGUUAAGAACAGUUUCAGGUUAAGAACAGACCUCCAGAACGAAUUACGUUCUUAACCCAAGGUACCACUGUAUUUAGUAGGAAGUUGAUUCAUUGAAAAAAAUCUGGUAACCUUACUUUAUAAGUAAGUAAGUAAAAUAUUUAAUAUAUUUAUAAUAUUUAUAUAGUAUUAUAGCAGCAAGUGGGAACUAUACUAGUAAAUAAUAAUAUAGGCCUACUACAUAAUAAAGAUGAAUAUUUUUUCUAAAGUAAUUUUAUAAUGGGAUCAAAAUAAAUAAUGUAUUACAUGAAAUCAUACUCAUACCCUUAGUCUAUGCUGCCUGAUCAUCAGUCUACAAGCACUCCUUAAUAUUAGGUAACAGGUACAACAGCUCAACCUACAUUCAACUGUGCUUCACUGCAGUUUGCUUGCUACAUGUUGCCAUACAACCAGUCCAUGCAGAAUGUAGGCACCCUAUAUAUAGAAAUGAGCAAACCAGUGAUAUUUUAGGGAGCAGGCUAGCAGGCAGGGCCCAUUACUUGCAUCAUACAAGCCUACACAACACAAAACACUGUUGAUGUAUGUAGGUUUUAUUUUAUUUUGUUUUUUAUCUUAUAUUUUGGAAAUGUACAUCCAGUUUUCCCCCCUUUAUUUUUUUUGGGGCCCCCAAGAGAGUGAGGCCCUAAGCUAUAGCUUGUUUAGCUUAUACGUAAAUCUGGCACUGCACGUAUGUUACACUAACCCUUUUCAACCUAGUGCCCUCCAAAUGGUUUGGGACACUAUUUCCAUCAUCCUCCCAGCCAGCAUGGUUUAUGGGAAUUGUAGACUAAAGUGAGAGAUUCUUGGGAGAAAAGCAAUGACAAACCUAGACAACAUCUUAAAAAGCAAAGACAUCACCUUGCCAACAAAGGUCCGUAUAGUUAAGCUAUGGUUUUCCCAGUAGUGAUGUAUGGAAGUGAGAGCUGGACCAUAAAGAAGGCUGAUCGCCGAAGAAUUGAUGCUUUUGAGUUAUGGUGCUGGAGGAGACUCUUGAGAGUCCCAUGGACUGCAAGAAGAUCAAACCUAUCCAUUCUUAAGGAAAUCAGCCCUGAGUGCUCGCUGGAAGGACAGAUCGUGAAGCUGAGGCUCCAAUACUUUGGCCACCUCAUGAGAAGAGAAGACUCGCUGGAAAAGACCCAGAUGUUGGGAAAGAUGGAGGGCACAAGGAGAAGGGGACGACAGAGGACGAGAUGGUUGGACAGUGCUCUCGAAGCUACCAGCAUGAGUUUGACCAAACUGCGGGAGGCAGUGGAAGACAGGAGUGCCUGGCGUGCUCUGGUCCAUGGGGUCACGAAGAGUCGGACACGACUAAAUGACUAAACAACAACAACAAGACUAAACUACUUAGGGGCUCCAGGUUGCUGAAGGCUGCAUUGCACAGUAUAUAUUUGGCAUUGCAGCUGACUUAAAACAUGAAGGCAGGCAGGCAUGCAAGCACGCACACCAAACCCCAAAGUGCAAAUGAUCAGACAGAUUUGUUAAAAUUAUCCCAGUGACAAUUUCACUAGCCUUUGCUUAUUUGCAUACUGUAAUUCAUUUAAAUGUAUGUGUGUUUAAAGAUGGCCUGUGACAAAUUCAGAUUGGGGGCAGGAAUCCACUAAAUAGGUUAGUUUUAAAUUGGCCAGAAAACCAGUGGAAAGUGGGUUUCCCUCCAUAAAGCUUAAAUUGCCUGAGAUAUUCUUGCAUAUAUCUAAGUGUUGGAAGAGAAAAGGGGAAAUGACAUGCAAAUGAAUAUUCUGAGCUCAUUUAAAAACAACAACUUUCUGUCUUCCUUCAAGCACCUUAGGGUAGCAUGCAUGGUUUCAUUUACCCCAAUUUUAUCAACACAAGAACUCAUUCAGGUAGAUUAGGCUGAGAGGUAGCAGCUGGUCUGAGGUCACCUGGGGAGUUUCACAACAGGGGUGCAGAUUUGGAGCCAGGUCACCCCACCCUCCACCCCAGCCCUGACACCCUCAUCCCCCAUCAUAUUGUGCUUAACACUGCUAUUAAAAUGACUGAAACAAGACCUGCCUUUAGCAUAAUGGUUCAAAGUGCUCUGCAAUAAUUAUAUGUAUUUUACUUAAACGUGUUUUCUCCCACUCUGAAAUGGAAAUUAGCAAAUCAGUUCCUAAACAAAGAAUGAAACCACAAUAAAGCCUUCAGGUGACCUGUUUGUUGAGCAUUCAGCCUGAUUUUUUUAAAAAAUUUUUUUGCAGGGAGGUUAGAUGAUGUUGGCUAUUUAAUGAGCAUUCAUGCACAGUCCUGUGAUCAUUCACAAAGCUUCAAUGGCAUAAUGCUUCCAGGGGCUGUAACAGGGGAAGAUGCAGCAUUCGUUUCCUUCAGUGCAGUUCUUGGACCCCUUUCCAUCUUUGGGCCAAUCUGCAUUGCGGGUGUGGCAUUUUGAGAAAAACUUCACAUAUGUUUUUAAUGAUCAUUUAGGCUUGAAUACUACCUCUUGGGACGCGGGUGGCGCUGUGGGUUAAACCACAGAGCCUAGGACUUGCCGAUCAGAAGGUUGGCGGUUCGAAUCCCUGCAACGGGGUGAGCUCCCAUUGCUCAGUCCCUGCUCCUGCCAACCUAGCAGUUCAAAAGCAUGUCAAAAGUCACGCUCCGGCGGGAAGGUAAACGGCAUGUCCGUGUGCUGCUCUGGUUCGCCAGAAGUGGCUUAGUCAUGCUGGCCACGUGACCCGGAAGCUGUACGCUGGCUCCCUCGGCCAAUAAAGCGAGAUGAACGCCGCAACCCCAGAGUCAGUCACGACUGGACCUAAUGGUCAGGGGUCCCUUUACCUUUACCUUACUACUUCUUGUGGUGUUUGUGCCCACACCUGCAACAAUUGCCCACUGUGUUGGCACCAUUUUUCUCCAUCUCUGCAACUCGGUCGUCUCUUCAAGGAAACAGUGAAACCACCUCAUAGCCAUUCAGACUGGAUUAUGUGAUGGUAUUACUUGAGACAAGUGAAGCUAAUUCAAAGCAAGGGCAAGCUUUGAACUCCAAUAUUGCUUUGAACUCCAACACUGUACAUUCUGUGCUUUGAGCCCCCUCUUAUGCGAUUAACAGGGAAUGGGACAGUUGUGCUGUUGCCUUAGUACGGGGGUGAGAGCCACCACACAGAGGCCAAGAGAGACAGUAUGUAAAUAAAUGGAUAAAUAAUAACACUCCAGUGUUCAGUAAAUGGCCUCCAUUUAUGGAAGGGUUACUUAUUUGCAAGCAGGAUAUGUAAAAGGCAUGGAUGAAACUUAGGUUUAGUUCACCCUGUUUCCACAUUACUUGGCUUUUUUAUUUUCAAUCCAUCCAAAAAUUUCUAUUCACCUUAGUGGAUAUUUCUUCAAACAGACUCAGUUUUUCACACUAAAUUGUUUAACAUGCAUUUUCACAAGCAAAUCCCCCAAACAUAAUUCUUUUUUGAGGGUAGAUUUUAAUUAACACACAAAUCUUUCUGUGCACUUUCCCCAAAUAUAUGCUCUUUAAGUGCAUUUUUAAAAAGGAGGACUGCAUUGCAAAAUGUGGAAAAAUGAACGUUUUAAAGUAAUGGUUGGUACACGCAUUGCAGAUGUGGGUAGAUUCACACUAAAAUGUAACCCCAAAAAACUGGGAUCCAUAAUAUUUGUGGCAUGUUUCUUAAAACAUACAUGUGUUGUGUUCACAGGUUACAUUAAACAAGUGCACAGCCUGUUUACCUAUAAACACCACAGAUGAACCUGUGAACACGUUACAACCAAUGAGUAUAAAAUGUGUGAAGCAGUUGUGCUGUACACACGCACAGUUAUCCACAUGUAGCAUGCAGUAAGUGUACAGUCUGUAGGACCUAGGUACACAAUUGUUUAGCUGUACAAAUCCACAAGUGUCUACACUUCCACACAAACACUUGUGCAUGUGGAGAACGUCUGUGUUCAAAGUAGGAAUGGUCAAAUAUCUCAGUUUUGGUUUUUCUCAGUUUCUCAUUUUUCUAGUCUUAAGUUCAGCUCAUCACUGCCUCAGUUUCUUUAUUUUUAAAGUCAAAACGAAACUUUUAUUGAAAAUUUCACCAAAUUUGUAUGUGAAAUAUUGCAUGAUAUGCAUCUGCAAACAAUUUUCCUGAUAUAAUGCAUUUUAUAUGCUAUUUUCACAAAUAUGUUCAUUUUCAUGCACACAUUCCCCCUGAUGUUCAUUUCUGUAUGCAUUAUUUGGCUGGGAAACUGCAUCACAAUAUUCAGAGAAGUGGCAAAGUUUGAAGGAAAUAUUUUUCAGUUUUGGGUUUUUUUGGGGUGUGUGUGUUUUGUUUUGCAAAAUUCAAAUCAGGUAAAUUUGCAUUAAGAUCCAAACUGGAUCAAAUUCCCUUUAAUUUGUAGCAUUAAAGUGUAGCAUGUGAACAAGCGCUUGUACAUGGAGACAACUUGUACCUGUCUUCAAUGCAACCUCUUCAUGAGCAACCUCUUGGUAUUCUCUUUUCACAUAGUGGCAGAGAGAAAGCAAGCCCCAAACAGGUCAGAAGCCACCUUCAGCUUUUGCAUUCAUCUGUUUCAAAUGGAUCCUGUAUGGGAGGCACAAACUUAGAUGUGAAGUAAUGGAGAAACAAGCAGGGUAAUCUCUCCAAGCUUUUCACCCUCUUCCCACCCCCCACCUUUUCAUCGAGGCACACUGUUUUCUGACAUCAGUUAUAAGACAUAAUGAAAUGGAGAACUUUUCAGGUCUCCCCUUAAUACAUCCAUCAUGUCCAGUCCCAUUAUUGAUAUGUUGACUUUCUUGUUUCUGAUUUAAACUGUCAGAGUCAGUAAAAUCAUGCUGACAGGUUGAGUGUUUGUGGCAGAACUCUGACGUGAUGUUACUUACAGCUAAUUAAAGCUGAGAGCGUAAUAAACAAUCCUGGGAUCCUAGCAACCUAAUUUCCUCUGAUGUGGAGUUGGCUGGAUCAUGACCCCAACAUUUGCUUUGAAGUGCUAAGUUGUAUAUUCCAUGGUUGGUUCUCCUUUUCGGAGGGCGGCAUCUCGGAAGGAAGGGCCAGGAAACGGGCAAGUUGGUUGUGGGUUUUUGUGGUGGUUUCAGCAGAGCAGGGGCUUGUUGCUAGCAAAACCUGCAGAAACAGUGAAGUGGGUUUUUGGAGGAGGAGGAAGAAUAAUGUCAAGAUAUGCAGGAAUAUAAACAAUGAAGAAAUGAACGGAAGAUGGCAAGCAGGGGUUUAGUUGACAGGAAAUGUAAUUAUUAAAGAACACUUAUUGGAUUUGGUGGCCAAAUUCAGAAAUAACACUGGACCAGGAAUGGGGAACAUAUGGCGUUCCAGAUGUUGCUGGCCUCCAGCUCCCAUCAGCACCAGCCAACAUGGCCAAUGGCCAGGAAUGAUGGGAGUUGCAGUCCAGCAACAUUCACAGGGCCACAAGUUUCCCACCCCUGUUCUAGGGGCGUUGUUGGGUGGGAAGCAGUAAACUGAGCAUCCAACCCCAAACAAUGUCUUAUUGUCCUUCCGCAGAUAACAUUGUGGGUAGGAAAUAGCCCUGGAGAAAGCUCAGAAAACUGCUGCCAUUUGCCACGGGCUCUGAGCUUCCUCCUACACAUCUGUUUACUAAGCAAAGCAAAUCCUUUCAUCCAGACCUGAACUGCUUCUUGUCUUUUGCCCCAUGGCACAGCCUCCAGUCUCCUGAUGCACUCAUGUUACUGAAGAUGAGCACAUUUGGGGGCUGAAUGUAGGAAGCUGCCUUAGACCAAGUCAGCCCAUGGGACAGUAUUGCCUAUACCGACUGGCAGUGGCCAUCCAGGGUUUCAGGCAGAAGUCUCUCUCGGCCCUAUCUGGUGAUCCUGAGGACUGAAACUGGGACCUUCUACAUGCAAAGAAGAUGCUCUCCUGCUGAUCUAGUGUGGUGUAGUGGUUAAGAGCGGUAGACUCGAAAUCUGGUGAACUGAGUUUGCGUCUCCGCUCCUCCACAUGCAGCUGCUGGGUGACCUUGGGCCAGUCACACUUCUCUGAAGUCUCUCAGCCCCACUCACCUCACAGAGGGUUUGUUGUGGGGGAGGAAGGGAAAGGAGAAUGUUAGCAGCUUUGAGACUCCUUAGGGUAGUGAUAAAGCGGGAUAUCAAAUCCAAACUCUUCUUCUCUUCUUCUUUUUUGUUGAACAGGAGCAUCGGAGCAUAUUUAUCUUGCACUGUCAAGUGGCGCUCGUGCUGCCUACAGUGAUUGGCAAGGGUUCUCCAGGUUUCAAUCAAGUAACAUCCCAAGGCCUACCUGGAGAUGCUGGGCAUUAGGCCAGGGGGCUCCCCCAUGCAAAACAGACACUCUACCACAGAACUACAGCCCUUGUCAAUGCCUUAAUGGAAAACUUCCAGGGAAACCUACCUAUACCGGCUCAGCUUGAGUUCUGUGAUGGAAGAAAAGUGGGAUAUAAAUGUGCUAGAAAUGAGAUUAAAAAACAUUUAGGAGCUCAUACAUUACCAGCUGUGUUUCCAAAAUGGUCAAAGGCCUGAAAACGAUGCCUUAUGAGGAACGGCUAAGGGAGCUGGGCAUGUUUAGCCUGGAGAAGAGGAGGUUAAGGGGUGAUAUGAUAGCCAUGUUCAAAUAUAUAAAAGGAUGUCACAUAGAGGAGGGAGAAAGGUUGUUUUCUGCUGCUCCAGAGAAGCGGACGUGGAGCAAUGGAUCCAAACUACAAGAAAGAAGAUUCCACCUAAAGAUUAGGAAGAACUUCCUGACAGUAAGAGCUGUUCGACAGUGGAAUUUGCUGCCAAGGAGUGUGGUGGAGUCUCCUUCUUUGGAGGUCUUUAAGCAGAGGCUUGACAACCAUAUGUCAGGAGUGCUCUGAUGGUGUUUCCUGCUUGGCAGGGGGUUAGACUCGAUGGCCCUUGUGGUCUCUUCCAACUCUAUGAUUCUAUGAUUCUAUACUCAUUGCUGCACUUGCCCUGGGGUGGUGGGCUGUGCAAAACGUAUGGCUGCAUGCCAGCAACUCCCCCGGCUGAUCACCAGGAGGUUUGUUUGAAAGAACUCAAUUUCCUGAUGUGACGUUUCUGGACUAAGUUCAUUCCAGAUGCGAGCCCAUUUUCCUUGAUGGAACCAAGGGUGUGUUACCUUGUAAAACAGCAGGCGCCUCCCUGCUCUCCAUAUAAUAUCAGGCAGGAAUGGCCAGGCACUUGGCACAAUAUCUGAGCCAACAUAUGAUAUUGACUGAGAAGGAACACAUAACACCUGGAGGAUUAAUAUGUUUUUAAGCAUGAUGUAUCAGUUGCAAGGCCUCUAGUAAAAUACAAUCACAGAGCAGCAAUAUCAUUAAACUGGGUGUUUAAUGAUAUUGACCAGCAUGCCCUACUGCCUUCAGGAAGGUGGAGAUCAUAACAGAAGGGGGAGCUUGGACACGUGAAACCAAACGCUUGGCAUUGAGGAGAAGAGAAACUCCAGAAAUGGCUCUUUCUUUUCCUCAGAGGAAUCCACUCAGUUUUGCAAGAGAAGGUGACACAUGAAAAAGGUCCCAGGUUCAAUCCAUAGUUGUCAACUUUUCCCUUUUCUUGUGAGGAAUCCUAUUUGGAAUAAUGGAAUUUCCCUUUAAAAAAGGAAAACGUUGACAGCUAUGUUUCAAUCCCUAGGACUUAAAAGCAUCUGAAGUCUAAGGGCUGGGAAAUACCUCUUCCUAAGACUCAGGAGAAUGAUUGCUAAUCACAGUAAACACUGUAGAGCUGAGUAACCACCCUCCCCCCCAAAAAAAAACCAGUUUAUACACAGUGUGGAGAAGGAGAAUUAUCCCUCUGCCCCAUAAUACUAGAAAUUGAAGACAUCUAAAAUAAGCCUGAAUGUCGGAGUAUUCAGGAAGUACUUCUUCACAUUAUGCAUAGUUAAAUGAUGGAGUUCAUUUCUGCCAAAUGUAGUGAUGGCCCCCAAUUUGGUUGACUUUAAAAGAGAAUUAGACAAAUCCAUGGAGGAUCAAUGGCUACUUAACCACACUGGCUGUGUUCUAUCUGAAUUGACGGAGGCAGGAUGCCCAGGAAUAUAAGCUGCUGAGAAUUGCAAGUGGGCAGAAUGCUGUUGCACUCGGGUUCUGCUUUGGGAAUUCACUACGAGAACAGGGGGGUGGAAUAGAUGGGACUCUGUCCUGAUUUAAAUUCCGUGCUGGGUGUUAGAGGCCAACAGUAUUUAGAAAUAGAACAUAGUUGGACAACAAAGACUUUAAAAAAGAUUGGAAUGUAUUUAUUUUAUAUAUACAGAAAUAUUAGGGAUGCGGGUGGCACUGUGGGUUAGACCACAGAGCCUAGGACUUGCCGAUUAGAAGGUUGGCAGUUCGAAUCCUCAUGACAGGGUGAGCUCCCAUUGCUUGGUCCCUCCUCCUGCCAACCUUGCAGUUCAAAAGCACAUCAAAUUGCAAGUAGAUAAAUAGGUACUGCUCCGGCAGUAAGGUAAAUGGCGUUUCCGUGCACUGCUCUGGUUCGCCAGAAGCGGCUUAGUCAUGCUGGCCACAUGACCCGGAAGCUGUAUGCCGGCUCUCUCGGCCAAUAAAGCAAGAUGAGCGCCGCGACCCCAGAGUCGGUCACGACUGGACCUAAUGGUCAGGGGUCCCUUUACCUUUACCUUUAUACAGAAAUAUUGUAAAGAACUAGACUCACUAGCAGGUUUUGAGUAAACACUUACAAUUGACAAAAUAGAAUGUGGUAGAUGUUGAAAAAUGAUGUGGAAAUAAACAAGUAGAAUAUGGGAUUUAAAGGGUUUGAUAGAAAAGAUUCUGGAAGACAACAGAGUUUUUAGGUAAAGAGAAAUGAUAUUAAGAUUAGAUUAGAAUGUGCAGAAUGAGAAAAUAUUAGAAAGAACUGGAAGGGGGAGUUGAGGGAAGUCUAUGGGUGGGGGAAAGGAGAUGUAUGUUUACUUUCUUAUGUGAUUUAUGUUAAUAGAUCAUGCUGAUCAAAUUGUAAAAUUCAAUAAAAUAUUUUUUAAAAAGUGAAAUAGAACAUAGUUGGUUAUAACCCUUGGCUUCUAGAAACCUGGGAGAUUGACCCUUGAAGAUGAUGAUGAUUUAUUUAUGAAUUACUUCCCAAGAGGCAUCUCAAAUUGACUUGGGAUAUAAUUAUGUCUAUAAAACAGUUGCGUAUAUAAAAACAAUUACCGUAUUUUUCGCUCUAUAAGACGCACCAGACCACAAGACGCACCUAGUUUUUGGAGGAGGAAAACAAGAAAAAAAAAAUUCUGAAUCUCAGAAGCCAGAACAGCAAGAGGGAUCGCUGCGCAGUGAAAGCAGCAAUCCCUCUUGCUGUUCUGGCUUCUGGGAUAGCUGCACAGCCUGCAUUCGCUCCAUAAGACGCACACACAUUUCCCCUUACUUUUUAGGAGGGAAAAAGUGAGUCUUAUAGAGCAAAAAAUACGGUAAGCAUAACUGCAUAUAAAAAUAAUUUUUAAAAGCUAUACAUAUAAGUAGAGUUUAAAAUAAUAACAUAUACAUAAAAUCAACUCAGAUCCAGAACAGAUGCUAACUGGGAUAAAGAUUUUGGAAUGCUUCUUGAAAUGAACAAUUUAGCAACUCAUACUGAAGUUUUGCAAAGUAUUUCCCAAAGGCAAAAAUUAGGGAGAAGCUAGGGAGAGUGCUGGAGGAGACUCUUGAGAGUCCCAUGGACUGCAAGAAGAUCAGAUGUAUCCAUUCUGAAGGAAAUCAGCCCUGAGUGCUCGCUGGAAGGACAGAUCGUGAAGCUGAGGCUCCAAUACUUUGGCCACCUCAUGAGAAGAGAAGACUCCCUGGAAAAGACCCUGAUGUUGGGAAAGAUGGAGGGCGCAAGGAGAAGGGGACGACAGAGGACGAGAUGGUUGGAUAGUGUUCUUGAAGCUACCAGCAUGAGUCUGACCAAACUGCGGGAGGCAGUGGAAGACAGGAGUGCCUGGCGUGCUCUGGUCCACGGGGUCACGAAGAGUCGGACACGACUAAACAACUAAACAACAACAAAGGAGAGUGGCUUACUUUCCCUGGUAAAUAGUAGCAAAUAGGGAUGCCACAUUUUGACUAUUCAGUCAUGUGGUUGGUGCCAUGAGCCUGGUAGGUCACAGGGAGAGGGUGUCCAAGGAUCUAGGUUUGAGGGGGGGGGGGGAACAAAUCAUGACUCUUGUUGCCACAUCACCAUAUUCGUUUUUCCACCUCUGUUCAGGGGAUCUUCUGAAGAAACCACACACAGGUUCCCUUUGGAGUCUCAGAGCCAACCAAAUGGGAAAAGGUAUGUUGGAGUUGAGAGUUGAGUUCAUCCACCUUUCUCUCAGACAGUUUAAGAAUAUGCACAAAAUGAAAGUGAUGUGGCUGACGUUUACUUCAAUAUUUCUUGCAAUCACAUUCAAUGUCUGGCUUCUACGCAUAUAUUUCUGGCAAUUAACCCAGAGGUGAAAGCACAUACGCAUCUGGAUCAUUUCUUUCCUUGCCCCCAGUCCAGAGGCAAUCCAAAUUCAGAUAUUUUUGACAUUUGCAUAACUGCAAUCACCAUAUGUCACUUCAGAUAGUAUCAGUGCUGACUCACCAUGAGAGAAUCUUGUACUGGAUUAGGUUAUGUCUAGAUCUGGAAUGCAUUUGGGGGGAAAUAAGAAAACCCUGCUAUCUCAAACUUGCUUAUGUGAAUUCAAACUCAGAUUUUUCUAAAGUGAAUUUUCUACACAUUCACAGAUUAAUUAACCUAUUUAGUUAGUGGUUGUUGUUUUUUUAACCCUCUCUCUUUGUGAGCACCAGGGCCAGGGCAGGCUGCCUUAAAUGCCCUGGGAAUGGACCUGAGGGAAGCCUACAUACUCUGCCAGUCCCUCCCCAAGGAGAGCCCUGCCUCUAAGCCUGCCUGCCAUUGGCCAAUCUGCAGGCAGGCUUGGAGCCAAUUCCUGGCCAAUGAGUUGAGUAUUAAGCCUCCUCGAUGGCCAGGCAGCCCCCUGCAAUAGAUCAUGGUGGGGGUGGCAGCGCUGGUCCACAACAUUGCAGAUCCGUCUCAGGAGUUAGCAGACAUAUAGAUCUGCAAUGCAUUUAGGUGGAAAUAAGUAAAUCCUGCUAUCUCAAACUUGCUUAUGUGAAUUCAAACACUGAUAUCUUAAAAUGAAUGUUCUGCACAUUCACAGAUUUGUUUAUUUUUUAAACAACCCUGUCUCCCAAUUUCUUUUUCCCCCCCUGGUGGUUUGGAGGAGAUUUUACAACAUACUUAAAGCAACAGUAGGCAAAGACUGCAAAGACCCCUUCAAAGCUUAUAUGUUUACUCAAACUUUCCUGGACUCUGACUCUUGAUUUUAAAUUUUCCAUUUAAUACACUGCUCAGUUUUUUUUAUGAUAAAAAGCUUUGCUCUGUUUUUAUCUAGUUUUAAGGAAAUUUUACUGAAUGUCAUUGUAUUCUUAAUAUUUUUAUGUAAACUACUUUACAUAUUUUUAUUAUAUCAAGUGGUAUAGAUUUAUAUUAAGAAAUAAAUAAACAGUACGCAGCUGAAAACCCAGAAGGGCUGUAGCUCAGUCGGAGAGCAUUGGCCUUGUAUGCAGGAGGUUCCUAGGUCAAUUCCUGGCACCUCCAGGUAGGGGAGAGAGAGAGAGAGAGAGAGAGAGAGAGAGAGAGAGAGAGAAAGCAAGCCUUGUAUGAAAUACUGGAGAGUUGCUAUCAGUCAGUGUAGAUUUAACACAAAUACGAACAAGUUUACAAGCAGCAGCAGAAUAAAGCUAUGGGGUUGCAAACCCUUUUAACAACAACAACAACAACAAUAACAACAACAACAACAACAACAACACAUUUUAUUAAAAUGGAAUCUAAAGGUCAUCAAUGAGCUCAAAGUAAACUGACAGGGGACCUGGCUCCACAGCUUAGACAUCCCUGUUUUGGAGAGUGGCUCACCUUAUCUUUGAUAUUCUUAAUAGGCAGAUUGCUAUGGAAGCAGAUAGCAAUCUGUUUAGGGCUUUAAAGGUCAAAAGUGGCAUUUUGAAUUAUGUCUGAAAACAAAUUUAAGACUGGGAAGACAGAGAUCAAAGAAGGAUUGAAAAGAAGACACAAAUUUAGAGAGAAUUCUAGAGCAGAAAACAGCAGGCAGGGACUAUGGGUUGUAGUCAACUAAGUUCUACCCAUUGAAAUGAAUGACCCUAAGUUAGUCGUGUUCAUUAACUUUAAUGGGUUUAUUCUGAGUCGGCCUAGCAUUGAAUGCAACUCUCUGUGCCCAAGCCAAGGUCAAGAACAUUGGGUUACAGACCAAGGGCAGUCACAGCAGAUCUUCUAAAGCUCUUAACAGACUACAUGGAAGAGAAAAGUUGAUCCAGCUGAACCCUUAUAUCCCUCCUGGAUGUAGCUAGUCCUCCCAGACUCCAUCCCAGGAGGGGGGCCUUUAUGGCAGGGAUAUGGCCUACCAGAUGUUGCUGCAUAACACCCCUUAUUGUCCUGUGCUGGCUGGGGCUAAGAUUCAUUUCUGCUGGGAUCCCAGAUUGCUGCAGCUGAUCAGAGUACAUAAUAUGGGUUACGUGGAUACAUCUGACCUGAAAUAAGACAGUUCCCAGUGUUCACAUCCACUGCAUUUUAAAUUUUGGGAUGUCAUAUUAAAAUCUUGGCAAUGUGACUGAAUUUGUGUGAAACACUUUUGUUCCCUUGCUGACGAACAAGGUCGAAUAUCGGCUGUUAAUGUUGCAUGGAUCCAUUUAAAUAAACCCUUGUCGGGUCACUGGAAUGCUUCUCAAGGGCAAAUUUGGGCAAAGUGCCGUCAUCAUCCAGCCCUGCCAGUUAGCUUGCUUAGAGCCAUUUGCUGCCUCCAACCUUUGACCUUGCAGUGGAACCUUUCCCCCCUCCGCUUUCUGCUGCAUUAGCUCUUUGCAUUAGCUCUGGUGGCCUACCUUGGUGACCUACCCACAUGCCACCUAUGACCCUAGGAUCAUUUGUGAAUCACUGAUCCAAGUGACAUCUGGCAGCUCAACAUGGCCCAGACCCCAGAUUGCAGGCCCCAUUCUCCUUGGUGCCUUUGGGACUGGAGGAAUUCAGAGCUGCUUUCACAUUUGUCUGCUAGCCAUUCUUCAAGCUUUGAUUUCAGACCAGUCCAUCAUCAUUUCAGAGGCUCAGGAUCUUGGCACCUUUGAAAAGCAACCCUCUGCCUGUGUAGAACUUCAAGAGGCAUCUACCUCUGCAUGCUCCGUGAGAGCCUUAAUCCAAGGCCUGCUUUGAAUUUCAGUGCUUGAGCCAACUUUAACAAACUGCAGUUAGCCAGGCAGACUCAGCCAAAGAGCCCCAACACCACCCCCAACUCGUUCGCAGCACCGUGGCCUAUAAUAAGAUUUUGCACCUGGUGAUGGAUGUCUGGUGCUCCUGCUGGGGAAUGCCCUUGUGCCAAGUAUCUGUCAUGCUCCUAAGAAAGAUACAGAUACAGCACAGAACUAUAGAAAAAGAAUCACAAUCAACAUGGAAGAUAUAUUUGUAAUCAGAGUCCCAGAAGCCUGCUGCCUAGGCUGAGAGGGGAAGGCGUGUGAUCCUGGCCUGACAUCUUCAGCACGGAUGAGCAAGCUCUGUGGUGCAGACAACUGGUAACAAUUUUCUAAAAUUAGUGGGGGUUUGUUGUUCUUUUUUCUUCCUUUCUUAAUGAUGCCUCUCUCCUGCCUCUAGCCAUCCCACUAAUCAGUUUACGUCGUAUGGGAGCCAUCAAUGGAGAGAGCCCAGGGACAUGGGUAAACCUUAAUGGUUUCACACUGACCUCUGAUAGUCUCCCUAAUGCCUUACUUGUGAAAGAAAAAGCAAAGAAGUAGGAGACAAAGGAUUGUGCUCAAGAGUCCAGAGGCUGCUCUGAACAGGUUGGAGCCCAAAGCCUCCUAUGAAUGAUCCCCCCCAACUUGUAAAACUGAAAAAGGGAUGGGGGUCCAAGUAUUGCUGGACUACAACUCCCACCAUCCCUUAGCAGUGACCAUGUUGACAGAGGCUGAUGGGCCUGGAGUUCAACAACAUCUGGAGAAGGACUCUGUGAUAGAUUUUAUCUUGUUGGCAUUAGUUUGAAUGCAGAGGUCAAACAAGUUGCAUGAGAUGGCUAUUAUUCAUAAUCAUUUAGAGCAGAAUUUGGCCAAAGCUGAACACAUUAAGGUAUACUUAUGCAUACUUACUCUGGAUUAAAUCUAGCUGAUUUCAGUUGGGAGUUAUUUUUGAGAAAACAUUUUCUUUUGGUUAUCUCAAUGGGAAGUUAAGCUCAUGUUUUAGGCUUCAGCUGCAGGGACACAAGGGUAAAGGAGAGGGACGGGACAUUCUGUUCUGUGUGCAGAAGUAAUUCUGUUUAAGCAAUAAACCUGCACUUUAAAGGAAAGCUAGUAGGUAGACUCAACAGGGAUCUUCACUUUGUUCUGGAGAGGGUAAAUUUCACCCCCAUCUUUAAGCCUGACAUGAUAUUGUUCCAAGUAUUCUGAAGAAAUCACUAUGGUGGCUACCAGCUCAGGAACAGCAGUAUGAAUUGUAUCCCACCCUCAAAAUUCACACCCCUGCCGCAAAAACACCCAAGAGUAGUUUCUUUCUACUUUCAUUUUGAUCCAUUCCCCUGCCUCUAAAAAAUUGGGGUUGCCUUUUCUUGGCUCAUUCAGGGUUAGAAAUCCUACUCACACUGUAGCCCAUUAGUUUGGACUGAAGAGAAGCCUCUGUCCACUGUUCAGUCUCGGAAAUAGAUUCAUGAGGUGACCCUGGGUGUUCCAUUUCCCCUCUAAUCCUUCAUUUCUUACUAGUAAAAAUGUGAAUAAUGCUGACAGAUCCCGCAGGGUUGUUGUAAAGAAGGGAUUGGAAAACUCAGAACCUCCAAGCCUUUCUAUCUGGCCCCGGGAAUCUCCUUCCACCCAACCAUUUCCUUCAUCAGCCUUGCUUGGUGCUCCACCCAUAUUUGCCUUUGCCCCACCCACCACCAUUGGCCCCUCACUGCCAAAAGGUUGUCCAGAAUGUGACCCUGAGGCUGUCAAUGUCUCCCCAGCCCUGCUGUAAAGACCCACCUGUCCUGCUUCUCAGAUAUACAGCAGAGCAGUAAAUAAAUGCAACCCAUCUUUGUGUCCCAGUUCUCCAUCUGUGAGGUGAGGCUGGAAACAUUUAAUCAAAGUUUCCAGCAAUGUGCUUCACAUCACACUUCUCUUUGAAAACGUUGUCUGCUUGACUAUGCAGCUUGCAGAGUCUGGUUAUGCUCAGAAUCAACAGGACUGAAAGCAGUGCUCAAAGAAAAUAUCUUCCUCUAUCUCCCUACAGAUUUUAGACACCCCUCCAGUAAUAUAGAUGCUGAGCCUUUCUGAUUCACCGCUAAGACAUUCAACUACAGAGUCAAAGGGCAAACAGAUGAAGAACAACAGCAAGGCAGACAAUUACUGGCAUGUCUGCUGAACAAGAGAUUGCUUUGCCGGUCAGUUUCUUCCUUGUGACUUUUAGAUGCAGUGUUCCAGCCCCCUAUUCACUUUUUGCAGCCCUCACAAGGUCCAUGCAUUUGGUAUAUUGACUAAAAUCCCCAGUAGGGUCAGCCAAUGCCCUAAAAGAAUUUUUUUUUAUUUAAACAUUUUUAGGCCACUUUUCUCAAUGAAUGUCCAAAAGCAGCAUACAAUAAAAACAACCAACAUUAAGAAGGGCCAUAAUACACAAACUUGAAACUACACUUCCGCAACACUCUAACAGAGCAGGGAAAGAAUAGUAUUCAACCAGACCAUCACCCAGCUAAAAAACAUCACAUCUGAAAGGCCAAUUGAAGCAAGAGGGGAAAGGUGAAGGGGGACUUCCAAACAGCCUACAGUACAGGAAUUCAUUGCAAGUCCAAUGGAAAGUAAGUUCCUUGCCAUGGCAUCACCACAGAGAAAGACUUCUUCCUCUCCUUAGGAAGGACACAUUGGGAAUGAGGCAGCUACGCCUCGUCACCAUUAAUGUAUAUAAGGCCCCAUCUUUCGAAGUGUUAUGGGCUGCUUCCAGAUGAAUAAUUAUUGUGGAAUCAGUGUUCCUCAUGCAUGUAUCAGAUUUUCUGCAGAUUGCUGUUUGCUCUGAAUGAGCUUUAAAGAGCAGGUUUUCACAGGGAAAGCUCCAGAGCAAAAAACAAAAGGGCCUUGGACAUAGAGCUUUAAAAUGCAGAUUGUUCCUGGAAAGAGCAGAGGAAAGGUAAGUGUGGAUAAGCCCUCAGAUUAUUUUUUUGGGGGGGUAUGUUUAACUUUCUAUGCUCUAUCUGCACUACAGUGCCACCAUUAGAUCUAGUGAAGGGAUUUCAGGCAGCGCUGAUGGGGUUUCGAGCCCCAUCCCCACUGUAGCUGUUUUGAACAAUACCACCUUUCCCCCAAAGCAGCCUGAAUAUUUGCAAAAUGAAACCGAUAUAGUUCUACAGUGCUAUUAAUGUCUGGUCAUGAUUUUGUGGUGCUUUCCACAAAUGCUUUCCUCUUUCCUCCCUAGGCAUUCACAGCCACAUGCAGCUUUCUGCAUUCUUCCUCACCUGUGCAUCUCAAAUUUACAUGCUCUUGCUUGCAGUGCUACAUCAGAACAACUCCUAUUUGAAACCUAAACCCUCCUUCAAUAGGUGUACCUACAUAAGUGCAACUCUAGCUCUUGGUGUUAGUUGCAUUGAGGUAGCUUCUGGAUACAGUUAUCAAAUGUCUCUCAUGCUAAGACACCAUCCACAUUUGUUUCGAAUUAUUACAGUUCAAGUUGGAACCUUGCUGCUCUUACCACCAAGGCCAAAAAACCACGAGAUGUUCUACUGUACUACGGGGUUAGCCCAGUGGUGCAAAAAGCAGCUCCAAUUUUGUUUGCAAAAGCUUGGAAGAGGGAGGAAGAGCAAACUUCACCUCCCGCAGCACUGAGGCCAUGAUCCAGAUGGUGGUCCCAGUGGCAUUUCUUCUUUUUUAAAAAAAAUAAGUGGGAAAUCCGGUCAUUGAAUCUCUGCCACCAAAUUAUUUUAUGCAAGCUCAAAUGUACUUUGUGGGGCAGGGAAGAAGGAGAAGAAGCAGAGAAGCUGGUACAUGUCUGCAGCACUUUCCAAUCUAUAACCUAUUUAAUCUGGGGGAAUUUGAGUACAGUCUGUGGGUCUACUCUAAAUUAAGAACCCUGUGGUCUAAACCAGCUCCUUUGGGUUCACCAGUUGCUGGAGAGGUCAACCACUAAAUCAAAGACUAUGUCAUUAUGGUGUGCAUCUGAGCAAAAAGUUCCUGCUUUACAAAAAAGAAGGGGAAAUAACGAGGAAAGAAGGAAAGAAAGCAGAAAGAAAUAAAGCAAGCACAAAAAUACAUCCCACGCACCACAGCAACUAGAUCAUACCUUUUACAAAAAGUCACUUUGAGGUCACUGUUUUUGUCCAG